rnacentral:rRNA from 1 species
CCGGUACAGAGGGCGGCGAAGCCGCGAGGUGGAGCGAAUCCCAAAAAAGCCGGUCUAAGUUCGGAUUGCAGGCUGCAACCCGCCUGCAUGAAGUCGGAAUCGCUAGUAAUCGCGAGUCAGCAUAUCGCGGUGAAUACGUUCCCGGGUCUUGUACACACCGCCCGUCACACCAUGGGAGUUGGCAACACCCGAAGUCGGUAGCCUAACCGUAAGGAGGGCGCCGCCGAAGGUGGGAUUGAUGACUGGGGUGAAGUCGUAACAAGGUACC